rnacentral:rRNA from 1 species
GACGAGGAGGCCAAGCGUUAUCCGGAUUUAUUGGGCGUAAAGGGUGUGUAGGGGGCAUAGUUAGUCCUUGUUCAAAUUUCACCGCUUAACGGUGAAACCGGCAAGGAAACGGCUAAGCUUCGAGGGUGCCAGAGGCAAAUGGAACUCUAGGUGUAGGGGUGAAAUCCGUUGAUAUCUAGGGGGAACACCAAAGGCGAAGGCAAUUUGCUGGGGCAUUCCUGACCCUGAAACACGAAAGCGUGGGGAUCAAAAAAGG